GACUGGUCCAGUGGUAAUGGGUUAUGAGAACUUAUUAACAUUAGUGUCAGUGAAGUUGGUAUACAACCUCCACUGCUAAGUUUGACUGCCUUAA
rnacentral:Y_RNA from 1 species